rnacentral:rRNA from 1 species
UGCCAGCAGCCGCGGUAAUACGUGGGGUGCAAACGUUGCUCGGAAUCAUUGGGCGUAAAGCGCACGUAGGCGGUCUUUUAAGUCGGAUGUGAAAGCCCGGGGCUCAACCCCGGAAGUGCAUUGGAAACUGGCGAACUUGAGUACGGGAGAGGAAAGUGGAAUUCCGAGUGUAGGGGUGAAAUCCGUAGAUAUUCGGAGGAACACCAGUGGCGAAGGCGGCUUUCUGGCUCGAUACUGACGCUGAGGUGCGAAAGCGUGGGGAGCAAACAGGAUUAGAUA